UAUAUACUCCCUCCGUCCGAAAAUAGUUGUCAUCAAAAUGGAUAAAAAGAGAUAUAUCUCGAACUAAAAUAUGUCUACAUACUUCCUCUUUUAUUCAUUUUGAUGACAAGUAUUUCCAGACGGAGGGAGUACAAG
rfam:Triticum aestivum genome assembly, contig: Triticum_aestivum_CS42_TGACv1_scaffold_404830_5BL